rnacentral:rRNA from 1 species
GACGAACGCUGGCGGCGUGCCUAAUACAUGCAAGUCGAGCGAAGUUUUUCUGGUGCUUGCACUAGAAAAACUUAGCGGCGAACGGGUGAGUAACACGUAAAGAACCUGCCUCAUAGACUGGGACAACUAUUGGAAACGAUAGCUAAUACCGGAUAACAGUAUUUCUCGCAUGAGAGAUAUUUAAAAGUUGGUUAUGCUAACACUAUGAGAUGGCUUUGCGGUGCAUUAGCUAGUUGGUGGGGUAAAGGCCUACCAAGGCGACGAUGCAUAGCCGACCUGAGAGGGUGAUCGGCCACACUGGGACUGAGACACGGCCCAGACUCCUACGGGAGGCAGCAGUAGGGAAUCUUCCGCAAUGGGCGAAAGCCUGACGGAGCAACGCCGCGUGAGUGAAGAAGGAUUUCGGUUCGUAAAGCUCUGUUGUUAGGGAAGAAUGGAUAUGUAGUAACUAUACAUGUAAGAGAC